CCCGCACAAGCAGCGAGGCAUGUGGUUUAAUUCGAGGCUACACGAAGAACCUUACCUGGGUUUGACAUGUACGAGUAAGUCCCAAGAAACUGGGACCCUAUCCGUAGCAAUACGGAUACCCGUACACAGGUGGUGCAUGGUUGUCGUCAGCUCGUGCCGUGAGGUGUAAGGUUAAGUCCUUGAACGAGCGCAACCCACGUGGUUAUUUGCUCUUGGUCGCAAGGCCAAGCACUAUAACCAAACCGCUACCGACGAGGUAGAGGAAGGUGUGGAUGACGUCAAAUCAUCACGCCCCUUAUGUCCAGGGCCACACACAUGCGACAAUGGUUGGAACAAUGAGUUGCAAACCAGUAAUGGCAAGCUAAUCUCCAACACCAGCCCCAGUACGGAUCGAGGGUUGAAACUCACCCUCGUGAAGAUGGAGUUGCUAGUAAACGCAAGUCAGCCAUAUUGCGUUGAAUACGUUCCCGGGCCUU
rnacentral:rRNA from 1 species